CCCUUAGAUGUUCUGGGCCGCACGCGCGCUACACUGAUGCAUUCAACGAGUCUAAAACCUGGUCUGAUAGGGCUGGGUAAUCUUUUGAAAGUGCAUCGUGAUUGGGAUAGAUUAUUGCAAUUAUUAAUCUUCAACGAGGAAUGCCUAGUAGGCGCAAGUCAUCAGCUUGCGUCGAUUACGUCCCUGCCCUUUGUACACACCGCCCGUCGCUCCUACCGAUUGGGUGUGCUGGUGAAAUGUUCGGAUCGGCCGUUUGUCGCGGUUUCCGCGUCAUGUGGCUGAGAAGUUCAUUAAACCCUCCCACCUAGAGGAAGGAGAAGUCGUAACA
rnacentral:rRNA from 1 species